GAACGCUUGCUGCAUGCUUUAUACAUGCAAGUCGAACGAAGGCCCUAGCUUGCUAGGUGUCCUUAGUGGCGCACGGGUGAGUAACACGUGGGAACAUACCCUAUAGUACGGAAUAACUGCGGGAAACUGUAGCUAAUACCGUAUAUUCCAGCAAUGGGAAAGAUUUAUCGCUAUAGGAUUGGCCCGCGCAAGAUUAGCUUGUUGGUGAGGUAAAAGCUCACCAAGGCUUCGAUCUUUAGCUGGUUUGAGAGGAUGAUCAGCCACACUGGGACUGAGACACGGCCCAGACUCCUACGGGAGGCAGCAGUAGGGAAUAUUGGACAAUGGGGGCAACCCUGAUCCAGCAAUGCAGCGUGAGUGACGAAGGCCUUAGGGUUGUAAAACUCUUUCAUCGGUGAGGAUAAUGACAGUAGCCGA
rnacentral:rRNA from 1 species